AUGUUCAUCCAUCAAGAGGCAGGUUGGUUGUGUGAUAAAAGGUUCAGUACUAACCCCCAGCAAGGGGCCGACCUCCAGCCUCGGUUGGCCUGUCAAACAAUAAGAAAUAUUGAGCAGCAGGUUAGAGGUCAAAGGACCAGUGAGCUCAGAGGGUGUCGAAGGCCAGUAAAUGCCUUUGGUUAUAGCUGUGGCCGAACACACACGCUGUGGCCAAACUGUUUGUGUACACUGAAGGUGACCUGGCCAGCCACUCUGACAGUAAUCAAGCAACUAUACAGCUGCAUGAUGGUCAAAUGUUUAUUUCUGGAACAGCUUAUCACGUGGGCAUAUCUGAUCAGGAACAGCAACAUUGUCACAGAGAUCACAGAGAGCGCCGUGCCCAGCUGACAAGGAAUUGCAUAACGGAGUCUCGACUCACUUUCAAGCGUCUCUGUGUUGAAACAGUCUGGCAUGAAAGACCUGGGUUCGGUCAAUCAAUGUUUGCGAUUUGUUUAAGUUUUUCUACCCUAACGUUGGAUGGAAUUUGUUCAUCUUUCCUGAUAUUAGCUAAAGGCAUGAUCAUCUUAAGGUCAAACUGAGAGGGGACUGGUGUGCGUGUGUCUUUGAAUGUUAUGCUUUUGAACAUUGACAGUUAACUGGAGAAAGUGGGAGGUAAACGCUCAGGGGCAAACAAAGCAAAGCCUUGGCAAACUGUUGGAGGGAAGGGUGUGUGUAGGUGAAACACAGUUCACACUGUGUGAAUGGGCCGGGGAUAUUUAUAAAGCCCACCAGGCAUCACGUCAGGAGGCUAGGCUGAAAAAUGUUGUUCCCAGAUGGACCGUCUCAGGCAGAUUAUUUAUUACUGAACUGCUUCCUUAUAUACUGAAACAACAAUAUAAACUCAACAUGUAAAGUGUUGGUCCCAUGUUUCAUGAUCCAAAAUAAAAGAUCCCUGAAAUGUUCCAUGCGCACUAAAAGCCUAUUUCUCUCAAAUUUUAUGCAGAAAUGUGUAUACGUCCCUGUUAGUAAGCAUUUCUCCUUUUCCAAGAUAAUCCAUCUGACGUGGAUAUAUUCUUGAUAUGUGGCAUAUCAAGAAGCUAAUGAAACAGCAUGAUCAUUACACAGGUGCACCUUGUGGUGGGGACAAUAAAAGGUCACUCUAAAAUGUGUAGUUUUGUCACAUAACACAAUGCCACAAGUAGCUGACUGUAGGAAUGUCCAACAGAGCUAUUGCCAGAGAAUGUCAUGUUUAUUUCUAUACCAUAAGCCACAUCCAACAUCCCUUUAGAGAAUUUGGCUGUACAUUCGACCAGCCUUAAAACCUCAGACCACGUGUAACCACACCAUCCCAGUACCUCCUCAUCUGGCUUCUUCACCUGAAACAUCAUCUGAGGAGGGGGACAAGCUCUUUUGUGGUGAAAAACUCAUUCUUAUUUGCUGGGCCUGACUCCCCAGUAAGUGGGCCUUUACCCUUCCAAGCCCACCCAUGGCUGCACCCCUGCCCAGUCAUGUGAAAUCCAUAGAUUAGGACCUAAUUGAUUUAUUUCAAUGGACUAAUUUCCUUCUAUGAACUGUAACUCAGUAAAAUCUUUGAAAUCGUUGCAUGUUGCAUUUAUAUUUUUUGUUCAGUAUAGGUUACGCAAAGGUGCACAGAAUCAGUUUACUCUACUGUCAGAUCAGCCUCAGAUCAGCUUCUCCCUGCUGCCCUGCUAGCAG
rnacentral:lncRNA from 13 species